UUUGCUGUCGCUUGAGUAAUGCGUGUCCCUCUUCCUUUCUCUCUUCAGUCCGUGCUAAGACACCUCCUCUGAUGAAUUUCUUGACUCUGACAACAGGCCCCCUGCUGGCGCCCGUCCAAGCGGCACGCUGCGCGCUUUCACUGUCCUCGCGGGCUUCAGUGAAGGGCAUCCCGCUUUGUUCCUCCCGCCCAGGGCCCAGAUCCGCCGCCGGCGCCCGCAUUAAUGACACUGCAGGCCUGGCCCUUCGAUCUUCAUCAGCGGCCGCGCAUCACUCGCCGCACGGCGGCUGGGAAGGUGCGGGCGCUGCGAGGGAGACGAGCUCUUCGGGACGCAGGACCCAGGCCUGGCCCCCGCAGAGCUCUAAUGCCACCACAGAAUGAGAGAAAUGCAACGCAAAGCCCCUCUUCUCUCCUGUGAGAAUCAACCUCCUCACACGCCGCAUCACUGUAUCUCAGCUACCCUGUGGAAUCAAGAGAAUGGGCUUCAGGUUCAGCUGUGUGGGAGACCAGCUGUGUAACCACAGGAGACGUUUUACAGCUCCGGAUUCCAGGCCCAAAAGUGCAAGUGAGGGGUUGGGCCACCCCUGCCCAUGGAGCUGUGACAGGCACCCCUACGCCCAGGGGGCCUAAUGCAGGGAAAUGGUGACUCAGAGCUGUUUGCCCACCAUGAAUCUGUCCAAUGGAAUGAUUAAUGAAUACUAAAUGUCAGGCACACAAAGACAGCUGGGACCACGGGGACACUGGGGAGACCUGCCCUCUCGGAGGAUAACUGGUGAGGAGUCGUCGCUUUCCCUCCCUCUCCCCCCUUCAGCUCCUCAUCUCCAAAUGCGAGGGAUGGGGCAGCACCUCUCUCCUGGGAGGCUUUCUUACCAACAGCUUCAUCAGGAAAAGACACAAGAAAGAAGCGAGGAAGGCUGCUCUCCACGUCUCCCCCACCAAGUCCAAGGCCUUCAACUCAUGGCUUUCCACUGUCCCUCCCCAUCUCCUUCCCGAAUACCUUGGUUUCCAAAUUUUAAACUCCAUCCUGCCUUUUCCCGGACCUCUUCCCACCUCAUCCAAGGAAGAAUAAGCACGGUAAAUGGCAGCCACCCCACCGUCUCGUGUCUCCUGAUUUAAACCCUGCUUACCUCAACCAUGUCAUGAGCAUUACAACUUUUGGCUAAAAAAACUGUAACUAUCAAUAUUAUUAUAGGGAGACAAUGUGUCUUCCAGAUGCCCAUUCAGAGCAUAUUGCACAAAUUGGGGAGUUCUCACCUAGCACAUGGUUUCCAACAAUUAUAAGGAAGAUAUAUUUUCUUGGGUUUUUGGUUCCCUCUAUAAAUUUUUCCACCCAAUGGGCUAUUAUUUAUUUUUAUUUAUUUUUUUUAUUCUUAUGUUAAUCC